UGGGCGUAGAGGGCUCGCAGGCGGUUUCUUAAGUCUGAUGUGAAAGCCCCCGGCUCAACCGGGGAGGGUCAUUGGAAACUGGGAAACUUGAGUGCAGAAGAGGAGAGUGGAAUUCCACGUGUAGCGGUGAAAUGCGUAGAGAUGUGGAGGAACACCAGUGGCGAAGGCGACUCUCUGGUCUGUAACUGACGCUGAGGAGCGAAAGCGUGGGGAGCGAACAGGAUUAGAUACCCUGGUAGUCCACGCCGUAAACGAUGAGUGCUAAGUGUUAGGGGGUUUCCGCCCCUUAGUGCUGCAGCUAACGCAUUAAGCACUCCGCCUGGGGAGUACGGUCGCAAGACUGAAACUCAAAGGAAUUGACGGGGGCCCGCACAAGCGGUGGAGCAUGUGGUUUAAUUCGAAGCAACGCGAAGAACCUUACCAGGUCUUGACAUCCUCUGACAACCCUAGAGAUAGGGCUUUCCCUUCGGGGACAGAGUGACAGGUGGUGCAUGGUUGUCGUCAGCUCGUGUCGUGAGAUGUUGGGUUAAGUCCCGCAACGAGCGCAACCCUUGAUCUUAGUUGCCAGCAUUCAGUUGGGCACUCUAAGGUGACUGCCGGUGACAAACCGGAGGAAGGUGGGGAUGACGUCAAAUCAUCAUGCCCCUUAUGACCUGGGCUACACACGUGCUACAAUGGACAGAACAAAGGGCUG
rnacentral:rRNA from 1 species